AAAGGCAAAUAUUUUCUUGAUUAUCAGUAGUAAACGAUUAGAAUGAUUGUUUGUUCGUAAUACUCGGAUAGCCGAUGAUCAAUAUACUGAAGAGAGGAGUACUUACUGAUGGUGAAAAAAACAAAUAGAACGAGACCAUUGAAGAGACCUAGAACGACGCUACAGGUGGAUCGAUGUCAUUACCAAAGAUCUAUAUAAGAAGCCAGUACACAGAGAGAAUA